rnacentral:rRNA from 1 species
CAGUCGCCACGGGAAUACAGAGGGUGCGAGCGUUAAUCGGAUUUACUGGGCGUAAAGCGUGCGUAGGCGGCUUCUUAAGUCGGAUGUGAAAUCCCUGAGCUUAACUUAGGAAUUGCAUUCGAUACUGGGAAGCUAGAGUAUGGGAGAGGACGGUAGAAUUCCAGGUGUAGCGGUGAAAUGCGUAGAGAUCUGGAGGAAUACCGAUGGCGAAGGCAGCCAUCUGGCCUAAUACUGACGCUGAGGUACGAAAGCAUGGGGAGCAAACAGGAUUAGAUACCCCUGUAGUCCCUGUCUCUUAUAC